CUCCAUUCAUUCAAAGAACACAAUUAUGUACUCCAUUACGUAGUGUUCCUGACGUUGAAGACGUUAGCAGCCCAAACAAUACAUCAUUACGAACAAAGGCACGUUUGCAAAGAUCUGCGAAGAACUUUCAACAAAUCAGUUCUCCGGUGACCCCACAACUGAACUCAAGAUUUACAGAACUAUAUCAAGUGCCCUCAUUAACACCGAUAGCAGCUACUUGCUUUCGCAUUCCUGCCGCAGAGCAGAUGGUUCCAGUUAAUUCUCCACUUGAAUAUGCUACCCCUAAUAGUCAAUUUGGUGACCAAUUGGUACAAGAAACGACGUCUACUACAACUCCAGUUCGUCAAUGGCCCAAACAGAUUGUUGCUGAAGACCACAAGAGGCCUAAAAGACUAUGUUCGAUGAGAAAGAAAGAACACAUGCAGUCACGGGAUAACAGAGAAGAAAGGCCAAUCAAGACAUUUGAUUUAUUUUCUGGAGAACAAAUAUUUCUAUAAAUUCACUUUAGCAACAGUAAUGCUUUGCGUUUCUCAAAGAGUUCAAACAAACAAUAUUUCUUUGCACGGGAGUAAUAAACACAGUUACGUCAGCCAAAUUGCUCAACUUACCUGCGCUGUUAUUUUAAUGUCUUAAAAAU